rnacentral:tRNA from 1 species
GGCGGCGUAGCUCAGGUGGUUAGAGCAGCGGAAUCAUAAUCCGCGGGUCGUCGGUUCGAGUCCGACCGCCGCUA